GGAACUUCCAGCUGUAUUCUGCCUUACUUCUGCUCAUUGUGUCACUUUAAACUCCACCAAUUUGAACAGGUCAGUCCCACUUUGGAACAACUUUUCUUUUCUGAAUGUGAAUUCUACAACAAAUACUACACCUUCAUACUGAAGAAUCAAGGCUUCUGAGGAUACAACGCAGGAUAGACCAUAACUAAGAGAAGGUUAUUAACGUCCGCAUAAUGAGGACAGGAUGUACCAUUUAUACGUGGCCAUUGACAUUUAAUACAUAUAAAUCAGGGAAGGCAGAUGUGAGACGGUGUAACCUUUAAGGAACGUCCAAAUCGAUAAAGCUCUCCAGUUCCCCAGCACUCAGCACUGCUGUUGCCUCAAGCUAAAGGCUCAGGCUGGGGAACCGGGGAUAUGGGAUAUUUGCUCUGCCACUCGUUUUGCUUUGAACUCCCUGGUAUUGUUGGGAGAAAAAAAAAAAAAAAAAAAACCUUUGCAGGAACUUCUGUCGCAAUCCCAGUGUCCAUGUUUUUGGUUUGUAGUGGAGGUAGACUGCCUGUAGCCAGAGUAGAUAUACAAUCCAGCCCAGUGCUUUAACCAAACCACUGGGCCACAUACACACCUCCUGAGGAGGUGGCUUUGCCUCAUAGAGUUGGACCCAUACUAGACUUGCAGUGGAUGUCAUAUAAUGUAAUGUAAUGUCUGCAGCAUGAGACAAGAUAGUCAGCAAAUCAGCAAUGUUACAUGCAUGUUUGAGAACAGAAUAAAGUAUUUUAUAUAAAUAAGAAUGUUUGCCUUUACUAGCUAACACAAAGGAGAGGCAUGCAGCAUAGGAGGGACCAGAGAGGAGGUUGAUGUACAGCAAAGGUUCCCUGCCUGACUCAAACCUGGGUCUAUGCAGUUACAUGGUCGGUGUCAUAUGGCCUUUGUCCACAUGUUUUUAACACACAGACGUGUGCAUAUGCAUGGAGUGUAAGUGUUCCAGCGAUGUAAGAGUCAUGUUGAAUAUGAUUGCUGAAUCAGAAAAUGUCAAAUAAUAUAUGUAAUUAUUCAUUUAUUACCCUGGAAUACUUGGUCCAGUCACAUAUAGUGGUGUAUUAAAAACACGUGG